rnacentral:tRNA from 1 species
UUUCGUUUCAGGUGCUCACUAGUGACUGACUCCUUGAGGUAUUUCCUGGAGUUCUAGUGAGAAGCAGUAACC